GAUCGGGUGCGUGCGCGACUACCCGCCGGAGCUGCAGUUCCGGUUGCUGGAGGAUUCGGGCUUUGAAAUUGUGCCAAGUACAUAUGCGUUCGGUGGAGGAUUCGGGCUUUGAAAUUGUGCCAGAAACAGGCACAGAGACAGAAUUUGAGCAACACUGACUGUCUGUUGUAAUCUAUAUACAACAGAAUUUGUACUACAUCCUUAGUUUUAGCGCAUCCCUCCUGCCACGAGGAAAAUAUCAUGGAAUUGACAAGAGCAAGGCAGGAGAGAUGCUGGGAGCCAAAAUCAAUAGCACCCAGACUGCAUGCAGAUAAAUAUAGCCUCAACAAGAUGAUUGUGAGAUCGAGCUCCUUCAGUUUCAGCAUAAGCCCCUGCAUAAAUCAUCACCUUUGGAGCAGUGCUUACUCCCAAACCAUUAAGGUUCUGUAACGGCUGAAAUUCUCCAAGCUCUGAAUCUCUGACGAUGAUGGGAUCCGGACACCCUGAAGAAACUACAUCCAGUUCAGUACAGUCAGGGGGUAGGCAUGCUUCCAACCGUGUGUUUCUUCAAGGCAAGGUUUGCUAUUUGUUGUGUAUCAGUCCCAACAAGUUGUAGUUUGGUUAUUCUUGUUCUUUUAUUGUUAGUGAAGAAAAAUGACAAUGUAGUCCCAGGUCUGUGUACGUGAGGUUUUCAUGGUCCUUGAGCUGUUGUUACAUGCAGGGCCGUGCUUGCCAAGAAUCGAAACCGAUCCUCCUUGAAGAUGGUCCGACCUCCAGUUCAUCUAUCGAAGGAUAGUAAUACUACUACUGCUGCAACUAUCUUGUUGUAUCGCUCUGCUUCCAUAUGCAAAACAAUGCAUUAACCUGUUCUUUUUUUGCGGGAAAAAUAAUGCGUUGAUCAAUGUAUUCUGCAUUCCUGAUUGUCAUAUGUUUCGAAUUCAUAAGAUUAGCUAUAUGAAAGCCACGGUGCAUAUAAUGUUCGUUUCAUUUCUUAGCGCAGUAGCUCUGGUAUGAAAGACUGACGAACAUGGGUGAAUAAGCUGGGAGGAACGGACAGCACAGUGACAAUGGGUAGGUGCAACCUUCGGAGAAAAGUGUGUCAAGGCAGCAAUUAUAGUUGGUAACAUGAGCUGCCCCAGUCGCAUGGCAGUGUUCUGGCCAAGAUGGUACGGCACAUAGUUGCUCGCCUAAAUGAAGGGAAUGUUGAUCUGGUCCCUCACGGAGACACUGGAGGAGAUGGUGUGCUCAACCUGAGUUCGCCUUCAGCAUCCUCCUACAGUUUGACAAGUCCAUGAGUGCCACGCCUACAGCCCCAGGUCAAGAGCAAUGCCUUCUUCAAGGUGCCAACCAAAAUGACACCUCUCCACACAUUUAUUACUAUAUUGUACAUAGAACCAAGUGCCCUGACCUAUGCUAUAAAGAGAUCAUGUGAAAACAAAGCUGAAGUUGUUGCUCAGGAUGAGAAGGAAAGUAAUCUUCGAGCAACACUAGACCUGGACCUAGAACCACUGGUUCACUUAGAACGAGUUAGUCGAUUGUUGUGAUAAGAGUAAGGGUUGAGAGUGAGCGCGGUAGGUUGAUUCAAGAGUUAAUAAUGGACAUCAUUGCGCAUCAGUUGCAUGGACAUCAUUGUUUUUAUUUUGUGGUAAUGCAUGACAUUCAACUAUAUGUUACAACGUGACAAUGGCUCGGAAGACAUCGGAUAUGCCUUCUUGGCUCGGAGGGUGUCACAGGCGGCGCACGCCUCCUCGCCUAAUAACGGUGGCCGGGGACUCCACCUUGGCGGUCCGUGGUGGAAGUACAGUGUGAAGAAUAGAGGGUGCCAUGACAAAGGUGAGCUGGUGUCAUCUGGUUUGGACUUCCACAUUUCUCACCCACAUAUGGGGUGGAUUUAGCAGAGUCCGGACCAUCUAGAUGCUUGGAUUUUGGGGAGCCUGCUAGGCACCCAUUUGAUGUCUGAACAUGCUCGAACGUACGAGAGACAAAUGAACUUCGA